GAGCGCGCCGGGGCGUUGGUGCGGGGAGCUGGUGAGGUGCUGCGCUGUGGGGUCCGCGCUAAUUGGGUCCCUUCCCCAGGUGCGGCGAGACAGCGAGGCCCUUGCUUCCCCUCCCGUGGCCCCGGGGCGGAGACCCCUGCCGCACACCCGAGAGGUGAGCCGGGAGCCCAAGCCGGGCGACACCGGUUCCCACGAGGCGCGCGUCGCGCGCGGGACGCGGGGCCCUGGCGGGGCGGCCGCACCUACCCGACACCUGCGGGUCCCUCCGCCUCCCCCGGUGCCGGGCGCAGAGCGGCGCCUCAAUUUGGGUAACAUUUAUGAGAAACAGGACUAAAAGAAUACUGCACACUUAAGUAAGGUAUUAAGGCUAUGGGGUCUCCUUUUGGGGUGAGGUAAUGCUCUGCAACCGGACAGUGGUGACGGCCGCCCGACAUGGCCGGUGUGCUAAUCUACUGGGUUGUGCACUUUAUUUAUUUUUUUUUUUGAGACGGAGGCUCACUCUGUCGCCCAGGCUGGAGUUCAGUGGCGCGAUCUCGACUCACUGCAACCUCCGCCUCCCGGGUUCAAGCGAUUCUCCUGCCUCAGCCUCCCGAGUAGCUGGGACUACAGGCGCCCGCCAUCACGCCCGGCUAAUGUUUGUAUUUUUGAUAGAGACGAGGUUUCACCAUGUUGGCCAGGCUGGUCUUGAACUCCCGACCUCAAGUGAAAACACAACCUAUGGCCUCCAGACACUCAAAUGAAAACAGUGGCCUUGGCGGCCAAAACAGGGGCUGCCCUAGGAGUCCUGUGGGCUGCAUGGGGGAGGCGGCACUGUCAUCUGCCCAGGAGAACGGGAGCUGCAGCAGGUUCUCUCUGGCGGUGCACGGGCUAGCACUGGACACACCACCCCCUCUCCAUCCAGCCUUUGGUGAAAUGGAGACCUUUCACCCCGCUUUGCAGAGAAGGAAACGUUCACGGAGUUGGAAUUCCCCUCCGCCCCAAACCCACAUUCCUGGGACAGCAAGGCCUUGAGAUGGAACUCAGGAAGCCAUCGGAUUCCAUCAACGUCAUCACCCCUGAGUUUGCUGCAAGCAGCCAUGGAAACGUCCCAAGUCCGCACCUGCAGGCUCAGUGAGGUUGCUCAAGCCCAGGAACUAACUGAGCUCUCAAACGUAAGAAGGCGUCUCCUCCUGGCUGCACCUGGGAGGCUCAAAGCUGUCCUGAGUCUGCAGCAGCCAGCUCGGGAUGAGAAAGGGUUCACGUGGCAGUUCAUGCCUAUAAUCCCAGCACUUUGGGAGGCUGAGGCAGGAGGACCGCUUGAGCCCAUGAGUUCGAAACCAGCAUGGGCAGCAUGGGGGAACCCCAUCUCUACCAAAAAAAGGAAAAAAAAUUUAGCUGGGUGUGGUGCUGCACACCUGUAGUCCCAACUGCUUGGAAGGCUGAGGCAGGAAGAUGACUGAAGCUCAGGAGGUGGAGGUUGCAGUGAGCUGUGGUUGCACCACUGCACUCCAGGCUGCGCUAUAGAGUGAGACCCUGUCUCUUUUUUUUCUUUUUUGAGACGGUGUCUUGCUCUGUCACCCAGGCUGGAGUGCAGUGGUGCGAUCUCGGCUCACUGCAACCUCUGCCUCCCGGGUUCAAGAAAUUCUCCUGCCUAAGCCUCCGGAGUAGCUGGGACUACCGGCGCACACCGCUACGCCCG
rnacentral:lncRNA from 1 species